GCGGUUGUGGCGGAAUAGGUAGACGCUGCAGACUUAAAAUCUGUUGUUCGCAAGGACGUGCCGGUUCAAGUCCGGCCUACCGCACCA
rnacentral:tRNA from 1 species